AGUGAACGCUGGCGGUAGGCCUAACACAUGCCAGUCGAACGGCAGCACAGUAAGAGCUUGCUCUUACGGGUGGCGAGUGGCGGACGGGUGAGGAAUACAUCGGAAUCUACUUUUUCGUGGGGGAUAACGUAGGGAAACUUACGCUAAUACCGCAUACGACCUACGGGUGAAAGCAGGGGAUCUUCGGACCUUGCGCGAUUGAAUGAGCCGAUGUCGGAUUAGCUAGUUGGCGGGGUAAAGGCCCACCAAGGCGACGAUCCGUAGCUGGUCUGAGAGGAUGAUCAGCCACACUGGAACUAGGAACCGGCCCAGGACCCAACGGGAGGCCGCAGGGGGGAAUUUUGGAAAAGGGGCGAAAGCCUGAUCCAGCCAUACCGGGUGGGUGAAGAAGGCCUUCGGGUUGUAAAGCCUUUUUGUUGGGAAAGAAAAGCAGCAGGUUAAAACCCCGCUGUUCUGACGGUACCAAAAGAAUAAGCACCGGCUAACUUCGG
rnacentral:rRNA from 1 species